CCUACGGGUGGCAGCAGUGAGGAAUAUUGGUCAAUGGACGAGAGUCUGAACCAGCCACGCAGCGUGAAGGAUGAAUGUCUUCUGGGUUGUAAACUCCUUUUAUAUGGGAAUAAAAUGUUCAACGUGUGGGAUUUUGUAUGUACCAUAUGAUUAAGGAUCGGCUAACUCCGCGCCAGCAGCCGCGGUAAAACGGAGGAUCAGAGCGUUAUCCGGUCUUAUUUGGUUUAGAGGGAGCGGUGGUGGAUCGUUAAGUCAGUUGUGAAAGUUAGGGGCUCAAACGUAAAAUUGCAGUGGAUACUGGCAGUCUUGAGUACAAUAGAGGUGGGCGGAAUUCGUGGUGUAGCGGUGAAAUGCUUAGAUAUAUCGAAGAACUCCGAUGGCGAAGGCAGCUCACUGGACUGCAACUGACGCUGAGGCUCGAAAGUGUGGGUAUCAAACAGGAUUAGAUACCCCAGUAGUC
rnacentral:rRNA from 1 species